rnacentral:lncRNA from 1 species
GUCAAAGAAAAUAUAUAUCAACACAACAUGUGUAUUCUGUAUUUAUUGUCAAUUAGACAAGGACAUCAAGGCCAAUUAGUUUCAACUUAAAUGAGAUAAAUAUUAAUAAUUGUUCUCUUUUAUUACAAAAGAAACCACUUAAAUUGGUAAACCACAGCUGUUGUAUGAGCAAUCAGAAUUAAGGCUUUUUGACAUGAUAAUAUGCUAAUUGUGUGCAUUUUGCACCAUCAAAUUUCCACCUCACAAAACUCCAUUCUAUGCAUUUCCAAUUUUGCUUUUCCCCCUUCACCCUCAGUUGAACAUUGUAUGAAAUGAAUAAAUUUGAUUAUGUGUCUUUCCACGGAAGGACUUAAAGGUCACACAUUGGAUUCGAAUGCAAUUCUUUCUCCUCUAUGUUCUCAUUCUUUUGUUCAGAUAUUUAUCCACAGAAGAAACUUUAAUAACUUACUCUGACAGAAGCAGAUUUUUACAGCUGUUUCCUUCUUAUUUUUUCUCAUGUUUAUGAAAACAAAAACAGGGCAAUGGUGUUGGAGACUUUAAUCAUGGAAUAUUAAAACAUAGAAUACACACAAACGCACAAACACACAUGUGAAAAAAUACAUCCUACCCACAAUUCUCCAACCCUAAUCCAAAACCAUUUAAAUCUGAAGCAAAACAUUUACAACCUCCAUGUGAAACGAGAAAUAAUUAU